rnacentral:rRNA from 1 species
CCAGACUCCUACGGGAGGCAGCAGUGGGGGAUAUUGCACAAUGGGGGGAACCCUGAUGCAGCGACGCCGCGUGGGUGAAGAAGCGCCUCGGCGCGUAAAGCCCUGUCAGCAGGGAAGAAAAUGACGGUACCUGAAGAAGAAGCCCCGGCUGACUACGUGCCAGCAGCCGCGGUAAUACGUUGGGGGCAAGCGUUAUCCGGAUUUACUGGGUGUAAAGGGGGCGCAGACGGCGAUGCAAGCCAGGAGUGAAAGCCCGGGGCCCAACCCCGGGACUGCAUUUGGAACUGUGUGGCUGGAGUGUAGGAGAGGCAGGCGGAAUUCCUAGUGUAGCGGUGAAAUGCGUAGAUAUUAGGAGGAACACCAGUGGCGAAGGCGGCCUGCUGGACGAUGACUGACGUUGAGGCUCGAAAGCGUGGGGAGCAAACAGGAUUAGAUACCCUAGUA